rnacentral:tRNA from 1 species
UGGGGCGUAGCCAAGUGGUAAGGCAACGGGUUUUGGUCCCGCUAUUCGGGGGUUCGAAUCCUUCCGUCCCAG